rnacentral:lncRNA from 1 species
CGUAAGAUUUAGCUCGGCAAUAUUUUACGAAACAUCAUUUGUAAAGUCGAACAAGAUCAUAUGAAACUAUCAAGGGAAACACAAAGACAAUAAGGGCUAGGGCAGGACCAGUUCGCUCGCAGCUUGACGAACUGAGCACCCAACCAGAUUAACAUCGUAUCCAUUGCUUUUUUCUUCUAAUCGCCCGCUUCAGCCUUCUUCAAGUCAUCACCUACUUAUUAUCCUCACUUUGUUUCAACGAUUUCGUAAAGUUCCUUUCGUGCAAAAAACGGGAUCCAGUUUUACAAAAUUCUGCCACGUUAAGUCGAAAAUAUCUAUUCAUAAACGUUUGAUAGACUUUUCGACGUUAUACAAAGCACACUUGGUCAAUUUAGUAAAACAAGCAGUACGAAGAAACGAGGAUAGAAAACAUAGACGUUGAAAUCUCGCCCUCACUCCGACAUUUAUGUCAGAAAACCAAUGGGUGUGAAAAUCAGUAUCAGAGUUUUCGAAGUUCUUUGACGUUAAGUCGAAAGUGGCCAUUCCUAAAAGCCAAAUAAACUUUGGAUAAAAUACUUACUCA